rnacentral:rRNA from 1 species
UGGGGAAUAUUGGACAAUGGGCGAAAGCCUGAUCCAGCAAUGCCGCGUGAGUGAAGAAGGCCUUAGGGUUGUAAAGCUCUUUUAGCCGGGAAGAUAAUGACUGUACCGGGAGAAUAAGCCCCGGCUAACUCCGUGCCAGCAGCCGCGGUAAUACGGAGGGGGCUAGCGUUGUUCGGAAUUACUGGGCGUAAAGCGCACGUAGGCGGCUUUGUAAGUUAGAGGUGAAAGCCCAGGGCUUAACCCUGGAACUGCCUUUAAGACUGCAGAGCUUGAAUCGCGGAGAGGUGAGUGGAAUUCCGAGUGUAGAGGUGAAAUUCGUAGAUAUUCGGAAGAACACCAGUGGCGAAGGCGGCUCACUGGACGCGUAUUGACGCUGAGGUGCGAAAGCGUGGGGAGCAAACAG